rnacentral:ncRNA from 1 species
UAAUAGUUUGAACUGAGCCUUUUCCAAAAGAUUUCGUACCCAUGAUAAUAGCCCUUUUGUGAUCUUGUAGAGCUCCAGCUACAAUUUCAGAGGCAGAAGCACUCCCUUGGUUAAUCAAUACAACAAGUGGAAGACCAUCAGUUAAAUCUCUUUUUAUCGCAUUGUACCUACUGCCCUCUCUGUCAAACCUUCCUCUCGUUGAUACUAUUUCACCUUGGCUUAAAAAAAUAUCUGUAACACUUACAGCUUGAUCUAAUAAACCUCCAGGGUUAUUUCUUA